GACCCAAUCAACAAAUGGGCCAAGGACCUGAACAGACACUUCUCAGAGGAGGAUAUACAAUCAAUCAACAAGUACAUGAAAAAAUGCUCACCAUCUCUAGCAGUCAGAGAAAUUCAAAUCAAAACCACCCUAAGAUACCAUCUCACUCCAGUAAGAUUGGCAGCCAUUAUGAAGUCAAACAACAACAAGUGCUGGCGAGGAUGUGGGGAAAAGGGUACACUUGUACAUUG
rnacentral:lncRNA from 1 species